CCUACGGGAGGCAGCAGUGAGGAAUAUUGGUCAAUGGACGAGAGUCUGAACCAGCCAAGUAGCGUGAAGGAUGACUGCCCUAUGGGUUGUAAACUUCUUUUAUAUGGGAAUAAAAUGUUCCACGUGUGGGAUUUUGUAUGUACCAUAUGAAUAAGGAUCGGCUAACUCCGUGCCAGCAGCCGCGGUACUACGGAGGAUCCGAGCGUUAUCCGGAUUUAUUGGGUUUAAAGGGAGCGUAGGUGGAUUGUUAAGUCAGUUGUGAAAGUUUGCGGCUCAACCGUAAAAUUGCAGUUGAAACUGGCAGUCUUGAGUACAGUAGAGGUGGGCGGAAUUCGUGGUGUAGCGGUGAAAUGCUUAGAUAUCACGAAGAACUCCGAUUGCGAAGGCAGUUCACUGGACUGCAACUGACACUGAGGCUCGAAAGUGUGGGUAUCAAACAGGAUUAGAUACCCCUGUAGUC
rnacentral:rRNA from 1 species